rnacentral:rRNA from 1 species
AACGAACGCUGGCGGCAUGCCUAACACAUGCAAGUCGAACGGGAUCCAGGCUUCGGCCUGGUGAGAGUGGCGGACGGGUGAGUAACACGUGGGAACCUGCCUUUUGGUUCGGGAUAACCGCGGGAAACUGCGGCUAAUACCGAAUGCUCCCGAGAGGGAAGAUUAUCGCCAGAAGAGGGCCGCGUCGAUUAGGUAGUGGUGGGUAAUGGCCUACCAAGCCGACGAUCGGUAGCUGGUCCGAGAGGAUGAUCAGCCACAUUGGGGACUGAGACACGGCCCACGACUCCUACGGGAGGCAGCAGUGGGGAAUCUUAGACAAUGGGCGCAAGCCUGAUCUAGCCAUGCCGCGUGGACGAUGAAGGCCUUAGGGUUGUAAAGUCCUUUCAGAU